rnacentral:rRNA from 3 species
UUGGAGGGCAAGUCUGGUGCCAGCAGCCGCGGUAAUUCCAGCUCCAAUAGCGUAUAUUAAAGUUGUUGCAGUUAAAAAGCUCGUAGUUGAAUUUCGGGGUCAGUAGGUUGGUCAUGCCACAGGUAUGUACUGGUCUCACUGAUUCCUCCUUCCUGAUGAACUGUAAUGCCAUUAAUUUGGUGUUGCAGGGAAUCUGGACUGUUACUUUGAAAAAAUUAGAGUGUUUAAAGCAGGCUAACGCCUGAAUACAUUAGCAUGGAAUAAUGAAAUAGGACGUUCGAUCCUAUUUUGUUGGUUUCUAGGAUUGACGUAAUGAUUAAUAGGGAUAGUUGGGGGCAUUAGUAUUCAAUUGUCAGAGGUGAAAUUCUUGGAUUUAUUGAAGACUAACUACUGCGAAAGCAUUUGCCAAGGAUGUUUUCAUUAAUCAAGAACGAAAGUUAGGGGAUCGAAGACGAUCAGAUACCGUCGUAGUCUUAACCAUAAACUAUGCCGACUAGGGAUCGGAUGAUGUUAAUUUUUUAAUGACUCAUUCGGCGCCUUACGGGAAAC